rnacentral:rRNA from 1 species
GACGAACGCUGGCGGCGUGCUUAACACAUGCAAGUCGAACGGAGUGGCGAACGGGUGAGUAACACGUGGGUGAUCUGCCUCGCACUUCGGGAUAAGCCUGGGAAACUGGGUCUAAUAUCGGAUAGUGCAAGUUGAGCUCGCGGCCUAUCAGCUUGUUGGUGGGGUAAUGGCCUACUCAGGCGUCGGCGGGUCGCCGGCCUGAGGGGGUGUACGGCCCCAUUGGUACUGAGGUACGGCCCAGACUGCUACGGUGGGCAGCGGUGGUGAAUAUUGCACAAUGGGCGGAAGCCUGAUGCGGCGGCGCCGCGGGGGUGAUGAAGGCCUUCGGGUUGUAAACUCCUUUCGACAGGGACGCGGUACCUAUAUAAGAAGCACCGGCUAACUACGUGCCAGCCGCCGCGGUAAUUC